GCAUCCCGCAGCCAAUCCAUCCUCGCCUCGUCCCACUCCCGCACCAGCCACCACCCAAACCCUAGCCCCCUUUCCCCUCGAUGCCCACAGCCUCUCCCGCCUCCUCCAUCCCUCCUCCUUGCCUCGCCACGGCCUCCCCCCGGAGCCUCGCCACCGCCUGCUAUUCCUCGCCGCCCCUGCGAGCUCGGUGGCGGGAUGAAUGGACAGGGGAGGUGGGCGAUGAGGGCUACUCCAUCCACCAGAUCCGCGCCGCCCCUGACCAAAUCCUCUCCGCGUGCGCCGCACCCAAUCCCGUCCUCGCUCGUCUCGUCCCACGGCCAGCUCCCCAUCCUCCUGCGGUUCCCCUCCCCUUCUUCCUUUCCUCCCUUACGACACGCCGUCUGUCUCCAUCCCACAUCCUCGCUGCCGCCACAGCCUCUCCAGGAGUCUCGCCCUCCGUGCAGGCCCGGAUCUGCAGGAGGAAGAGGAGAUCCAGGGGUCCAGGCGGUGGCUCGGUCGAUGCGAGGUGAUGGCGAGCCGAUUUGUGUGGGCGGUCAAGACUACGGUCGCAGCUUUGGUGGUUGCGCACAUGUCAGCGAUUGCAUCUGAUGUCACACACCGAGGUUCAAACAGGAGAAGAAGUACUAUCUUGCCUGCCUGAAAUUAAUAGGAGCUCAGCCUGAAUGUCGGAUGUUCUUGAAGAAAUACCUGGAAUGUAGGAUGGAGAGCGACAUCAUGGCUGCCGGCGGCAGAAUGAUGGAGAAGGAGCGGGAGAAGCAGGAGCUGCUCGGCCGCGCUAGCGCCGGUGAGAUCUUCCAGCGUGCGCCGACGGACAAGCCGGCAUUCACGCUGGCCCAGAUCAAGAAGGCAAUCCCGCCUCACUGCUUCCAGUGCUCGGUGAUCAGGUCCUUCUACUAUGUGGUCUAUGACCUUGUCAUCAUCGCGUCCCUCCUGUACGCCGUGUUGGUCUGGAUCCCAGCACUCCCGAGCAUGCAACAGCUGGGCGCUUGUCCGCUCUACUGGGUCGUGCAGGGCUGCGUCAUGAACGGCAUCUGGGUGAUCGCCCACGAGUGCGGCCACCACGCCUUCUCCGACUACUUGCUGCUCGACAACAUGGAAGCUUGAAAGUUCGGUUUUCUAAUGGUGAGUGUCGGUGUCAAAACCGGCGGAUCUCGGGUAGGGGGUCCCGAACUGUGCGUCUAAGGCGGAUGGUAACAGGAGGCAGGGGACAUGAUGUUUACCCAGGUUCGGGCCCUCUCGAUGGAGGGUUACAGAUGCCACAAGGCUUGCAUAACAAGGGUGGAUUCCCUGAAAGGGAAGGCUUGCCAACCAAAAGGUGGUUCUUUCUUCUGUUAAUUGUUUUGAUCCUUUUUUUUAUUUAUGCAAAAAGGAAUGCUAUUGCUUAUGUUCUCUGACGAACUGUACCUUGAAUUCUUGAUUUUGCAAUUCACUGAAGAAUCGUCCAUCACAAACUCUGUUCAUUGAGAACUUUACCUGGAUAUGCUAAAGCUUGCGCACUGACAUUUGUUGUUCAGUUAGCGCUGGAGUUGUGCAACUCCCAUGUAGUUUUCUAAUGUGUCAACAAACCGAAAAUUGUUGAUCCUUCUCACUGCAGAUCGUGUCAUGAGCUCGGAGACAUUAAGGCACUGUUAGUUAGAUGUUCCAAUUCUUGUGUACAAGAAGCUACAUGGUGGCUCAUGAGAUAGAUGCACUAGCUCAAUCAUCAGAUCUUGGUGAUGUAAUGAUGCUUGGCUAGGCUUUAGUAUGUACUAAUUAUAUACCUGUGGAUUACAUCAGAGAUUAGAAGAGUUGCAUGUGAAUAUAUGUUGGAAUAAGAGAAUAGGGAAAAGGCCCAAUACAGUGCUGCAACGACCAAAACAAACGAAAACAAAGAUUACAGUGAUGGAUCUUCACAUCCAGAUAGCCAAGGGAACUUUUUUCUUUUGAAAUGCAAUGUACCUCUUACAUUACAUAGACAUGCCAGUUAGUUUCUAGCAGCCGAUGAGAAUGAAUACAACCAUUUGUUCCUUGUCUGGCAUGUGUAUUUGCUUUGUCCUCUGCUUCUGAUAAGGCAAGGCAGAUCAAACCAACACAGUAAUCCUCUGAUACUUCAUUAUAUUCUGAAAAAACACCGAUUUUCCGUGUCAGGGUAGUACUAUGUCAAACUGAUGCUUUGUACUACAUGUUCCGGUGUAUACCCUAACAAUAUUAGGCAUUUGCAUUGUCCUUUGCUUUGUUUGUUCAUACGGCAUUUGUUUCUUUUCAGUUAUAGCCACUUUUAUUUCCGAUUUGAACCCAUCCAUGUCUUGUUUUCAUUUGUUUCUUACAAAUUCUUUCUGAAAAGAUGUUGUCUUUCAGUUGUAUAUUCAUUCUCUUGAUUUUCAUUUGUUUCUUAUGCAAGGGUUCUCUCGAAAAAAAAUUGUAGGCAAGACGAAACUGAAAAGGUCAUUUGGGACAAGUGGAAGGAGGAAAGCCGCCAUAAGAUCGAUAGUAACUUGCCUCCGCUCUAACAAGAACAUGUUCGUCCAUUGGAACUAUCAAAUUCAAACUCCUAGAUGUCUAUGUCAGGAUGUAGGACUUUGUCCAGGCAGAGAUAUCCCCUCUGAUCUUUUCAUGAAUACUUUCACACUUUUUUCUGUAAAGUGCUGCUAAUUUUAAUAAAACCCCUCUGUUCAAAACACAAUGUAAUUUCUAGCUCCUAGAAGAGCUUGUUCAUUCAGACCUUUCCUUACAUUUUAACUAUGAUAGUGACCUCUUUUAUUUUUCUAUGUAACGAUCAUAUGCAUAAAUAGUUGAAAAUGGUGUCUGAAUGGCCCAUUUUUAGCUAAGUAUUUACCAUGCACCUAAAUAAUUUCUAAAACUUAAUAUAUAUUAAAGAAACGCAAAUGGUUUCAAAACUUAAUAUAUAUUUCUAAAACUUAAUAUUCACAUCAGUAUUCAGUACAGAGCAGAUCAAUUGAUUUUCAUAAAAACGCAUAUUAGAAUUAUCAUUGGAUUGGUUUUCAAGUGCCUUUGUUAGACAAUAGUGCAGAGGGAGUAAAUUAGUUUCACAGAAUGUUUCCUAGGAUUUUAGUUGCACUUCAUUCUGUUGUUUCGGUCUUUGUACAUUCAGAUGCUUUUUAAUUCAAAAGGAAACAACUCACAGAGGUUAUGUACGGGAGGCUACACUCUGCCUCUUCCUCGUGGUGCGGCGGACGGCGGCUCUUGCGGUCGUGUGCUGACGACGGCCUCAACGGGUGGGCGACCAGUGGCGGUGCCAGGGGUUAGCUGUGUAGGCAACUGACUACACAACAUUUUGGCAUGCAUUAGUAGACAUCAAGCAAAAGACCAGUUUUCACACAAGCAUAAGUAUUUGACAUCACAACUUUAAAUUGACAUCACAACGUUGAACUCUUGGCUUCGCCACUGUGGGCGACUACACUUGCAGUUGGCACUCUACCCAUGGAUUCCGGCAUUAGCUCGAAACGCUCAGGACAAAUUAGGUCUCGACCAAUGGUGUAGAAGACGGAGUACAAGGAUGAGCCGCUCGAGCACGGUUUGAUGGGAUGUUCGCACGCAAGAUGCAGAAGUUCGCCAGAAGGAAGAAGAGCUGGGCGUCGAGGAGGAGAAGAAGGUGGUAUGCGAGGUGCUUGCAGGCCCAGCAGCAGGAGGCCGUCCUUGAGGUGCUCCUCUGGAUGGUCCAUUCCGGCGCUGGGCCUACGUGUUCAAUGCUGCCCUCACCAUCCCCUUCUUCCAUUGGCUCAUCGGCCCGUCAGAGUUCAGAGAUCUAAUACUCCGCACUGCCUCCCGUCCAUUUUCAGAUAUAUAUAUAUUUAUAUAAGGUUUAUCAUCACCCCAUGGAUCAUGUGUUGUUGAUUGACCAGGUUAUUGAGGUGGAGGUCAACGGGGUGAGGCAGAGAAGUGGAGUGCUCAUAAAGAAACGAAGCUGCUGCCUGGACUCGCCGCUGCUGCCGCCUUCAGUCGCUUCCGCCUAGGCAUCCCGUCGCUAGCAAGGAGCAACUAUUGCUAUUGGGACUGGUGCUUGUGUAGUUGUUGCAGCUGUUCUUGAGGGCCGAGCUGAACAUAUUUGAAAAAGGAUAUUCUGACACCUAAUAAGGAUCAAGAAAACAACAGAGAUGCUAAGAGGCAACCUUUUGGGGUUAAGGAUAUAAACAACAACAGGGCUUAUGAGACCGAAGAGAGCUCAAGUGGUGUCUUUUGAUUCUUGAAGGCCUGCACUUUCCUGGUGGAGUAGCAACAAAAUAAUUCAGAGGCUUUAAAGCUAAUGCACUUCACGUAGUUAGGAUCAAUUCUUUGUUUCGGUUUGAAAUACUCCCCAGUUCCUCCUAUUUGAUUGAUUCAUCUGAUGGACAUUUUGUCAGGCAAAUAUUAGGCAAAGGAUAUGUACAUUUUUUCAAUAUAGAAGGGUCUAAUUCU